rnacentral:rRNA from 1 species
ACGAGUGGCGAACGGGUGAGUAAUAUAUCGGAACGUACCAUUCAGUGGGGGAUAACGUAGCGAAAGUUACGCUAAUACCGCAUAUUCUGUGAGCAGGAAAGCAGGGGAUCGCAAGACCUUGCGCUGAUUGAGCGGCCGAUAUCAGAUUAGCUUGUUGGUGAGGUAAAAGCUCAUCAAGGCGACGAUCUGUAGCGGGUCUGAGAGGAUGAUCCGCCACACUGGAACUGAGACACGGUCCAGACUCCUACGGGAGGCAGCAGUGGGGAAUUUUGGACAAUGGGGGCAACCCUGAUCCAGCCAUGCCGCGUGAGUGAAGAAGGCCUUCGGGUUGUAAAGCUCUUUCAGCCGGGAAGAAAACGCAUGGGUUAAUACCCUGUGUGGAUGACGGUACCGGAAUAAGAAGCACCGGCUAACUACGUGCCAGCAGCCGCGGUAAUACGUAGGGUGCGAGCGUUAAUCGGAAUUACUGGGCGUAAAGCGUGCGCAGGCGGUUUUGUAAGACAGGCGUGAAAUCCCCGGGCUUAACCUGGGAACUGCGUUUUUGACUGCAAGGCUAGAGUACGGCAGAGGGGGGUGGAAUUCCACGUGUAGCAGUGAAAUGCGUAGAGAUGUGGAGGAACACCAAUGGCGAAGGCAGCCCCCUGGGUCGAUACUGACGCUCAUGCACGAAAGCGUGGGUAGCAAACAGGAUUAGAUACCCUGGUAGUCCACGCCCUAAACGAUGUCAACUAGGUGUUGGGAGGGUAAAACCUUUAGUACCGGAGCUAACGCGUGAAGUUGACCGCCUGGGGAGUACGGCCGCAAGGUUAAAACUCAAAGGAAUUGACGGGGACCCGCACAAGCGGUGGAUGAUGUGGAUUAAUUCGAUGCAACGCGAAAAACCUUACCUACCCUUGACAUGCCAAGAACUUUCCAGAGAUGGAUUGGUGCCCGAAAGGGAACUUGGACACAGGUGCUGCAUGGCUGUCGUCAGCUCGUGUCGUGAGAUGUUGGGUUAAGUCCCGCAACGAGCGCAACCCUUGUCGUUAAUUGCCAUCAUUUAGUUGGGCACUUUAACGAGACUGCCGGUGACAAACCGGAGGAAGGUGGGGAUGACGUCAAGUCCUCAUGGCCCUUAUGGGUAGGGCUUCACACGUCAUACAAUGGUCGGUUCAAAGGGUCGCCAAGCCGCGAGGUGGAGCCAAUCCCAGAAAGCCGAUCGUAGUCCGGAUCGCAGUCUGCAACUCGACUGCGUGAAGUCGGAAUCGCUAGUAAUCGUGGAUCAGAAUGUCACGGUGAAUACGUUCCCGGGUCUUGUACACACCGCCCGUCACACCAUGGGAGCGGGUUCCGCCAGAAGUAGGUAGCCUAACCGCAAGGAGGGCGCUUACCACGGCGGGGUUCGUGACUGGGGUGAAGUCGUAACAAGGUA